rnacentral:lncRNA from 1 species
UCUCUGUGGUCAGGGUAGCCCUGUGGCUGACGCUGCAGUCAUUGGGCUGAAGCUGUUCCCUGAGUCCCCAAAGUUGCCCUGCAUCUGCGCCUCUGGCUAGGCUGCCCCAAACUACCUGGGGUAGUGGGGGGCAGCUGUGGUGGUGACACAGCUACCCCUGCAGAAAACCUGUGGAGCGCCUACCUGGAGAAGGGUGACAUCGUGGAGAAGCAUGGGCUGCCCUCCGCAGAUGCCCCGAGCCUGAAGGAGAGCCUGCCUCUGUACGUGGUCGCUGACAUCGCCACAUCCUUCACCGUGCUGGUCGGCAUCUUCUUCCCUUCUGUAACAGGUAUGGCGAUGGUGUCAGCAGGAACUUGGUGGUGGGCACACUGGCCUGGCCUUCACCCUGGGUCAUCGUCAUCGGCUCCUUCUUUUCAACGUGUGGCGCUGGCCUCCAGAGCCUCACAGGGGCACCACGCCUAUUGCAGGCCAUUGCCAAGGACAACAUCAUCCCCUUCCUCCGGGUGUUUGGCCAC